UUUGCUAAAUCUAAUUAUGUUGUUCAAUAUUAACCAAAAUCAGAAAUAAAAAAUCUAAGAUCUAACUAAAUCUAAGAUUUCGCGGCGACGCUUCCAAUCUCCUCCUCCACGCUUCCACUACGAUUCCAAAAGACUCAAUUCUAGAAGCACGAUUCCGCUUCCGUUUCCGGUUCAGAAGCGAGAAGCGACACAUCUCCGGCGAUUCCGUGCUACAGCCGAAAAAGAGUGCUUUCAAGCAAGUCCGUUUUAAGACACUGAAACUAACGAAUCGCUCUCUUUACUCAAGCUUCUUGGAGUUGAAAGAACAGCUACGUCACAGGUAAUUAAGAAAAUUUUGGCGUCCAGAUAAAAAUCAGGAAAUCAGAAAAGCUGUUUAAUUUGGUCCAAACAUGGCUAACCAUGAUUCUGUUUUAUUUAGAGUAUGCAGCUAGAGGUCAGCUUCAUAAAGAGCUACAAAUAUGCAACUACUUCUGCGCAGCAACUGUGAGUCCUAGUGAUAUUGAGUAUUGACCUUACCUGGCCUCUAAAUCUGAGCUUGAACCUCUCUAGUCUUUUCUAUUUACUCUUGUUACAGACUAGUAAGAUUUUGGAUGGUCUGCGCACACGUUCAUGUCUGGCACUCUUGAUUACCUUCCACCUGAGAUGGGUAAGUAAAACCUCUCUACUGUGUUUUUAUAUCAGACACUUCUGCUCCCAGAUUGUCCAAGUGCACCUCAAGUUCCCUUCUAAACUUAUUGUGUCUUCAAUCUUCAUAUGCAAAUGACCUUAUUAGCUAGGUUCCUACUCUCAUACCUCGUAAUCUCUCUUAAAGCUUUUCUGCAUUUGAAGAGUGAAAUCUCUGACUUUUCGCACUUUCUGAUUCAUAUAGAUGUUGGUUAAGGAGUCUAACGUUUGGCCUUGCACAAGCUUCUUAAGCACCAAUGAUUUGUGCAAAACGCGGAUACAUCAAGCAUAUACAGACGUUUUUGAACUCGUUGUUCUGUUCUCUAGAAUCACGGCCUUACAUGUACUUUUGUGUAGUCUUCUUCUAUAAUAUUCAAUUUUAAAGAAAAAUAAAUGAGGAAUUAAUUUUCUUUGCUGGUGAUUUGGAUAUGCUAACAUUUUGGUCAUAAUGUAUAACUUUCUUUUUUCAACCACG
rnacentral:lncRNA from 1 species